AAGGCAAUGGGUACUGAGCAAGGCAAUGGGAAGGGGGCUAGUGGGUUGGGAAUGUGGUGUCUUGAGACACACACUGAGAUGUACUUUCAAAUGAAGUCUGGAACUGCAGAUAUAUUUAGCGAGUUGAGACUGGCAAGGGCAGGACGUCAUAGAGAAAAUACAUGGAAUAAAAUGAGAAAAAGAGAAGUGGGGAAAGUGAUAGGGCAGAAAACUCUAAGAAAUUUCUGACAUGCAAGGAAAAGAAAUUUCUGACACAGAGAAAAUACAUGGAAUAAAAUGAGAAAAAGAGAAGUGGGGAAAGUGAUAGGGCAGAAAACUCUAAGAAAUUUCUGACAUACAUGGAAUAAAAUGAGAAAAAGAGAAGUGGGGAAAGUGAUAGGGCAGAAAACUCUAAGAAAUUUCUGACAUGCAAGGAAAAGAUGAAACAAAAAGAGGUCAAAUAUGUAAGAGCAGAAAGCUGUCCUUUAAGUUCUGAGAACUAAGAGGAGUGGAGUGACCUAAAAAGCGAGUGGUGGGAGCAAAAGUAAGCUGCAGGGACCCAGGAGGAGCAACAGGAGGUGAGGAAGCAGAGAUAUCAACUCCUCCAAGCUGUUCUACCAUAAACAGAAAGAAAGAUACGGGAUUGCAAGAGUGAUGGGCAGAUAAGAUGCAGAGAGUGGGUUCUUUUUUUCUUCCUUUUGUUUUGGAACAGAGGUGGAGGUGGCAGCCUUCCUUUUUCUCAUCAAAAGAAUUGUUAAACAGAGGUUCCCAGAAAGUCUGUGCACAGUGGAGAUGCCGAAUACCAUAAAGUACUGAAAGAAGAAGCAUCAGAUAGUAGAGAGAACAAAGUUGGAACGACCUGGCUUCAAAUCCUGAGUGGCUCCUUUGCUAGCCGUGUGACUGAGCACAUUACUCAGCCUUUGCAAGAGUCAGUUUCCCUGUGGAUAUCCUCAGAACAAAAUAUUCCUCCCAAGUUUAUGGGAAGAUUAAAUAAAUUAAGGUUUUUCUAGAGGGGACUGACCAAGUGGAUCUACUCUCAUCUGAAGACCAUACUAGCCACCCACACUUACUUCAAG
rnacentral:lncRNA from 1 species